rnacentral:tRNA from 1 species
GUGGGUGUAGCUCAGUUGGUUAGAGCACCGGAUUGUGGUUCCGGAUGUCGCGGGUUCGAACCCCGUCACUCACC